CACAAGUCCAUAAAAUAUGCUUUAAGGAGGGGGCAGCUCAACUCACCCCUCACUCACCCCCAAAGCAUGCAAAGGGAGGAGUGCUGUGGGCUGGGGAAUCUUCCAUCCUGCUACUACUGCUAGCUUUAGAGGAAGUGGGCAGGAAGGUAAGUAGAUUCCUGUAUGCAUUGAGGGAGGGGGGAGAAGGAGAAGAGCUGCAUCGAAUUCGCUGUGCAAUUAUGAGGGUUGGUCGCUUUCUGCAUCAGUCUUCAGCUGGAAUCAAGUUCUCCAAUGUAUUUUCGGCUGCCUUUUUCACAUGGGUCAUGAAACUAGAACCUGCACAAAUGCUGCAAAGAGCCGAUCCAUAACGUGCCAUGAAAAGAACAAAGCGGAUCAGACAGAAUUUUGGGAUUUUUCAGGGACAAAACCUUGGUCAAAUAUGACUUCUCCAACUUGCUGCCAGGACAUCAAAACAUCAGUCCAAAUGACAUCAUUUUGGUUGGAAGAGGAGAAUCCUGCAUCCUAUGUGAGUCAUGUGGCACAAGUGUGGUAGGGAGGUUGGGCUUCAAGAGGGGGGACUCCUCAGGCAAUCAUGUCUGCACCCCCUUCCUUCCACUUCCUCGUUGGGGACAAGCUGGUGACCGAACAGACCAUCAGAGGCUUGAGCAGACCCCAAAGCAUGCAGCAGCACUGCACCAGAAGGCUGAUUCAUCACCACCUUUACAUGUCCACCAUAGUCUCCUCCCAAUACACGAAAGGAAGGCGAGGACUCCAUCUGCAUCCCUUUGAUUUGACAGACCCAAAUAAAAGGGCGAAGGCAACAUUCCCUUGCCGAGGGGCACUCACUCGGUGGAGAAAGCUUGGAAGCAUGGGAUCACGUGGAGGCGACUGAGGGCGUGGCGUGACAGGCAGGCAGGCCAUGAAUGAGGGACUGCAGCAGCGUUGGCGACGCACUCAAACAGUUGUGUGCUCGGCUUUUGCCAAAGCUGCCGGUCAUGUAUAUAAAGGAGCCCCCAAGAAAUGCAUGCAUGAUAAAAGCAACUGGCCAUGAGAAGAGCGGUCAAAGCAGCACUCCAUUUUCCUGCCCCUAAAGGAGGGGUCAAGUGCUUUAGUGGAGGAGAUGAGAUGCUUGUGUUAUUGAAGAAACACGCAGCAAUACCACUUUAAUCCCCUUUUGUGUGGACUGACACCACUGACCAUGAACAGCUUUUCCUUUCUCAUUCUUUUGCAGUGGUGGAUCCUCACUCAGAUAGUGGUGGCAUGGUCACCUCCCUCUCUGACUUGCUACUCUCUCUCUUAAUCCCAACAUGUUCAUAUCUUUCUUCAUUGCGCCUCAUUUCAUGUAGGAUAUGUCAAACUUGUCACCCAUAUUUGUCGAACGAGGAUAGGAUGAGUUCUUCUA